rnacentral:misc_RNA from 1 species
GAUGAAGAACGUAGCGAAAUGCGAUAAGUAAUGUGAAUUGCAGAAUUCAGUGAAUCAUCGAAUCUUUGAACGCACCUUGCGCCUUUUGGUAUUCCGAAAGGCACACCUGUUUGAGCGUCAUGAAUACCUCAAUCUCCAUCUUUUCUUCGGAUUGAUGGGUGACUUGGAUGUUGAGCCCUGCUGGUAUGCUAUAUCAGCUGGCUUUAAACUUAUUAGCCGGCUCUGUACUGGAUCGGUUUGACUCGACGUGAUAAUAUUAUCGUUGAGGAUGCAUGUCUCAGGCAGCCGGAAAGUAUCAAAGCAGCUUCUAGCUUGCCUUUAGUGCACUUUUACAUUUUAGACCUCAGAUCAGGUGGGACUACCCGCUGAACUUAAGCAUAUCAAUAAGCGGAGGA